UACGUAGGGGGCAAGCGUUGUCCGGAUUUAUUGGGCGUAAAGAGCGUGUAGGCGGCUUUACAGGUCCGCUGUGAAAACUCGAGGCUCAACCUCGAGCUGUCGGUGGAAACGGUAAGGCUAGAGUCCGGAAGAGGAGAGUGGAAUUCCCGGUGUAGCGGUGAAAUGCGCAGAUAUCGGGAAGAACACCCGUGGCGAAGGCGGCUCUCUGGGACGGUACUGACGCUGAGACGCGAAAGCGUGGGGAGCGAACGGG
rnacentral:rRNA from 1 species